rnacentral:rRNA from 1 species
GACGAACGCUGGCGGCGUGCUUAACACAUGCAAGUCGAACGGAAAGGCCCUGCUUUUGUGGGGUGCUCGAGUGGCGAACGGGUGAGUAACACGUGAGUAACCUGCCCUUGACUUUGGGAUAACUUCAGGAAACUGGGGCUAAUACCGGAUAGGAGCUCCUGCUGCAUGGUGGGGGUUGGAAAGUUUCGGCGGUUGGGGAUGGACUCGCGGCUUAUCAGCUUGUUGGUGGGGUAGUGGCUUACCAAGGCUUUGACGGGUAGCCGGCCUGAGAGGGUGACCGGCCACAUUGGGACUGAGAUACGGCCCAGACUCCUACGGGAGGCAGCAGGGGGGAAUAUUGCACAAUGGGCGGAAGCCUGAUGCAGCAACGCCGCGUGCGGGAUGACGGCCUUCGGGUUGUAAACCGCUUUCGCCUGUGACGAAGCGUGAGGGACGGUAAUGGGUAAAGAAGCACCGGCUAACUACGUG